rnacentral:rRNA from 1 species
UACAGGGGGGGGCAAGCGUUGUUCGGAAUUACUGGGCGUAAAGGGCUCGUAGGCGGCCAACUAAGUCCGACGUGAAAUCCCCAAGCUUAACUUGGGAACUGCGUCGGAUACUGGAUGGCUUGAAUUCGGGAGAGGGAUGCAGAAUUCCAGGUGUAGCGGUGAAAUGCGUAGAUAUCUGGAGGAAUACCGGUGGCGAAGGCGGCAUCCUGGACCGACAUUGACGCUGAGGAGCGAAAAGCUAGGGGAGCAAACGGGG